rnacentral:rRNA from 1 species
CGUAGGGUGCAAGCGUUAAUCGGAAUUACUGGGCGUAAAGCGUGCGCAGGCGGUUUUAUAAGUCUGAUGUGAAAUCCCCGGGCUCAACCUGGGAACUGCAUUGGAGACUGUAAGGCUAGAGUGUGUCAGAGGGGGGUAGAAUUCCACGUGUAGCAGUGAAAUGCGUAGAUAUGUGGAGGAAUACCGAUGGCGAAGGCAGCCCCCCUGGGAUAACACUGACGCUCAUGCACGAAAGCGUGGGGAGCAAACAGGAUUAGAUACCCUGGUAGUCCACGCCCUAAACGAUGUCUACUAGUUGUCGGGUCUUAAUUGACUUGGUAACGCAGCUAACGCGUGAAGUAGACCGCCUGGGGAGUACGGUCGCAAGAUUA